GUAUUAACGGAAGCGCUUCGACCCUAUGCUGUGUAUUAUGCAAUAUGUGUAAAGGAUUUGCUUAGCUGUGGAAAAAGUAUAAAAGUGGCAAUUUACGCUGACUUAGAGUUUAGUGUAUAGAUUACCAGCUACUUGUGGCGAACUAAACGUGGUGCUGAUUGUCGCUGCGGAAACUCAAUUGUAGUAAAGUGAAGAGGAGCAAAGUGGGUAAAAAUGGGAUAACAAAUACCUAAGGGCCUAGGAUGCCAAAAUCUUCACCUCAUUAUCGUUUAUGUUUUUCAAUCUACCUAAAAUAUAAUUUAUAUAUGGAAAUGUACAAUAUUUUGCGCAGCCGAUGUCAGCCGAAACCAUCCACUUAUGAAAAAAUUCGUUGUAAACUUUUUAAACAACUAAAAAAAACAACACUUUCUCAAUUUUAAAAUAUGUAUGUAUCAUGGACUGAUUCCUUAAAAAAGUUUUGCGCGCAGUGCUAAAUGCAUCUAUAGUUUUAUUUUGUAUUUAUUUGUUGCAAAUAUCGUAUGAAACGGAUAACUUUCGAGCGUUGUAAAUUGGACUACCCUACUAGAUGGAAAUGUGAAUCACAAUAAAGAAACUAAGCAUAUAAAAACAAAUACAGAUGCGUAAAUUUUUAAUAAAAUAUGCCACAUAUGUAUAAAAAAUUAUGCUACCUACUUUGCAUAAUAAACUCCAAAAAUAUAUAUGUAUGUAUUAACCAAAACUUACUACUUGUUGCAAAAGAAAAAGUAAAAUCUUUAAAAGCUAAGGAGAAUAUUAUAUACCAAAUGAAUAUGUGUGUAAAAUUGUAAAUUACAAAAAAAGAAUAUAUAUUGCAAGAUAAAACAUUGUGUGUGUAUUAAUUAAAAUUUGUUAUGCUCUAUUCAGCCCUUAAUCCUUAGAUAUAUACGUACAUAUUUAUAUUUACAGACGUUAAAACAUGUUGCUGUUGUUUGGGAUUACAAAAAUAAAUUUUAAAACUUGAUUGCGGAAUACAACAAUUUUGGCAUCGAAAUUUAAAAAAUAUAUAUAUAUAUUCACAUACGUACAACUAUUUGUGGUUAACUGAAUACACUUACAUAAUUAUUAUUUGUGUGUAUAAAUGCACCAAUACGGCGAUACAAGAAAUAUACAAAUAUAAAAUGCAUAAUUUUUGGGCAAAUGAGAUUUUAAGAACAAAAAAAAAAUCUGUCUGUACUUGUGUACACUUUAUUGUUAAACUAUGAAACUUAUGAAUGUAUGCUUUUAAUUAAAAAAAUAUACGCAAUUAAUAUAUUUGUUGGGUGAAG